AUGGCCACAACUACGCGACCCUCCUCACACAGCUGCCUCUUCCUCAUCCUAGCUGCAGCCUCCACCAUAGUCACCGUGCUCUCUGCCCAUGCGAGUGAUAUACCCAACGGAGGGUGCAUCGCCGCCGAGAGGGCCGCGCUGCUCUCCUUCAAAGCCGGCGUCACUAGCGACCCAGCUAAUCGCAUCGUCUCAUGGCACGGCCAUGACUGCUGCCACUGGAGCGGUGUAAGGUGCAACAACUGGACUGGCCACGUCAUCAAGCUGGACCUGCGCAAUGAUUUCUCCGCGAAGGAUUUCAUUGGUUUUCCCAAAGCUCGUUCUCGUUCGAUGCGGGGACAGGUAUCUUCUUCAUUGCUUGCUCUCCAACACCUCAAGCAUCUAGAUCUUAGCGGGAACUUUCUCGGAGGUGAAUGGAUGCCUAUACCAGAUUUCAUGGGUUCUCUCGAGAGAUUGGUAUACCUCAACCUCUCCAACAUGAAUUUCUGUGGCAGAGUGCCUCCUCAGCUAGGCAACCUCUCCAAACUGGUACACCUUGACAUAAGCCAUAAUUCUUGUCUGUACAGCCUACACUCCAUGGAUAUAUCUUGGUUAGCACGUCUCUACUCACUGGAGCAUCUUGAUAUGGGCUCUGUGGACCUUAAAGCAGCGACUGACUGGGUUCAUUCGCUGAACGCUCUUCCCAGUUUGGUUGUACUGAAUCUCGAUUGGUGUAACCUUCAAAAUAACACUCCGUCACUUGUACACUACAACCUUACAGUUCUUGAGGAACUUGACCUUUCCUAUAACUCUUUAGAUAGCCUUGCUGCAUCAAACUGGUUUUGGGGUGUAACUAGCCUCAAAAGGCUAAUCCUAUUAGAAUGUGGAUUAUCAGGUUCAUUUCCUAAUGUGUUGCGAAACUUGACCUUGUUAGAGACCCUUGACCUGGGAUUUAAUAAUAUCAACCGGAUGAUACCGGUAACAAUGGAAAAUAUGUGUAAAUUGAAGUCUCUAGGCCUCAGCUACAAUAACAUCGGUGGGGACAUAUCAGACUUAAUGGAGAGGUUUCCGAAUUGUUCUUUGAAGAUUUUGCAAGAGUUUUAUUUGUCGGAGGCAAACGUCACCGGCACGACAUUAAAUUCUUUGCUAAACCUAACCAGCAUAAGAACAAUUCAUGCCGGUGAUAACCACUUGAGCAGUCCCUUGCCUGUGGAGAUUGCCACACUGACAAAUUUGACAGAAUUGUUGCUUGGUGGCAACAACUUGAGUGGUGUGAUAUCAGAAGAUCAUUUCGCUGGUCUUACAAACUUGAAGAUACUUGACUUGUCUUGCCCUAAUUUGAAGGUCGCCAUGGACUCGGGCUGGAAAACACCAUUCAGGUUGGAUAUUGCAUGGUUUGGAUCUUGUCAGUUGGGUCCCGGAUUUCCUCAAUGGCUUCGAGGGCAAAAUGGCAUUUCAGACCUUGACAUUUCAAACACGGGUCUAAUUACUAGGAUUCCACAUUGGUUUUGGACAACCUUUUGUGGCGCGGAACAUUUGGACAUGUCCUCAAACCAACUUAGCGGCAACUUACCCAUCAACUUGGAGUUCAUGUCAGUGAUAACACUUUAUCUGCACUCAAAUUGUCUAACUGGUUUGGUACCGAAAUUGCCAAGAACAAUUGAAGUAUUGGACAUCUCUAGAAACUCCUUAAAUGGGUUCGUGUCGUCAAAUUUGGAAGCUCCACAUUUACAGGUUGCGGUUGUCUUUUCAAAUUCUAUGACCGGCACUAUUCCAACCUCGAUUUGUCAAUGGCCACAACUGCGGAUCUUAGAUCUUUCAAACAAUCAGCUUGUAGGGGAACUUCCUGAUUGUGGCAGAAAGGAGCUAAAGCAAUGUAAAGCAUCUAGCAAGAACUCUUCAAAUGUCAGUUCCACAUGUUCAUCUAGUUUGCGAAUAACUAUCCUCCUUGUAAGCAACAACAGUCUUUCAGGUGGAUUUCCUUUAUUCCUGAGGAAAUGCCGAGGUUUGCGUUUCCUCGAUCUAAGUCGAAACAAAUUCAGUGGAAACCUACCUACACGGAUUGGUGAAGACAUGCCUUUGUUGGUAAUGCUACGGUUAAGAUCAAACAACUUUUCUGGUCACAUUCCAUAUCAGAUAACGGAACUUCCUGCUCUUCGUAUUUUAGAUCUAUCUAACAACAACUUUUCUGGUGUAAUACCACAAUCUCUGGAUGACCUCAAAGCUUUGAGUGGCACUGCUAAGGCCUUAGAUCCAGAUUGGGACAGUCCUUUCGAUGAAAUAUCUGAAAACGAGGGUGUGUCCACUCUUGAGAGACAGUCCGAUGAUAGCUUAUCAGUGGUAAUAAAAGGGCAAGUGCUUGACUACAAGGAGAAUACCGUAUAUCUGAUGAGCAUUGAUUUAUCAUGCAACAGUUUAACUGGAGAAAUUCCAGAGGAACUAAGCUCUCUUAUUGGUCUCAUAAAUCUGAAUUUAUCAUCAAACUUGUUGAGUGGAAUUAUCCCCGAUAAGAUUGGUGAUCUUCAAUCACUCGAGUCUCUUGACCUUUCGAAGAAUAAGCUUGCUGGUGAAAUUCCUUGGGGCUUAUCAGAUUUGACAUAUUUGAGCUAUCUAAAUUUGUCAUAUAAUAAUCUCUCAGGAAGAGUGCCCACGGGGCAUCAACUUGACAUCCUCAAUGCAGAUGAUCCAACUCUUUGUGGAUAUCCGACUCCAAGGCAAUGUCCUGGCCCUCCUGAAGACGAACCAACCCACGGAGAUUCUGUAAGAUGGCACAAAGGGGGUCUAUCUCCAACGGAUUUACUUCUUGGGUUAAUUGUGGGAUUUGUGGCAGGCGUUUGGAUGGUAUUUUGUGGACUUCUGUUCAUGAAGAGAUGGAGACAUGCUUAUUUCGUGCUGUUUGACGAGCUAUAUGACAAGGUGUAUGUCAACUUUGUUGUUACUUGGGGAAAAUGGUUCAGAAACACGGGUGGAGAAUAA
rnacentral:rRNA from 1 species